UCUGGUGGCGAUGCGCUUAGGGGACACACCCGUUCCCAUCCCGAACACGAUGGUUAAGACCUAAGCGGCCGAUGGUACUUUACUGGAGACGGUACGGGAGAGUAGGUGGCUGCCAGA
rnacentral:rRNA from 1 species